rnacentral:rRNA from 1 species
GAGUACAUGGGCGCAGCCUGAUCAGCCAUGCCGCGUGAGUGAUGAAGGCCUUCGGGUUGUAAAGCUCUUUCAGUGGGGAAGAUAAUGACUGUACCCGGAGAAAAGGCCCCGGCUAACUCCGUGCCAGCAACCGCCGUAUUACUCCGUGCCAGCAGACGCGGUAAUUA